rnacentral:rRNA from 1 species
GAUCAUGGCUCAGGACGAACGCUGGCGGCGUGCCUAACACAUGCAAGUCGAACGGAGAAUUUUAUUUCGGUAGAAUUCUUAGUGGCGAACGGGUGAGUAACGCGUAGGCAACCUGCCCUUUAGACGGGGACAACAUUCCGAAAGGAGUGCUAAUACCGGAUGUGAUCAUCUUGCCGCAUGGCAGGAUGAAGAAAGAUGGCCUCUACAAGUAAGCUAUCGCUAAAGGAUGGGCCGNG